UUAUAAACAAAGAAAAGAAGUAGUAUAAGCUUAAACUUAUGAAGAGAAGCGAUGGUUGGUGCAAAUCGUUAAGGGAGAGUUUAGAACGUGUCUUGGAGUUUUAUUGUCGAAAGGUUUUGAGGCAAUAACGUGGAUUCGCGUUAAGAAUGAGGUGUCAUCCAUAAAGAAUGGAUGGAAUUAAGGUGGUACCGCGAUGAAGACGUCGUCCUUUUA
rnacentral:ncRNA from 1 species